rnacentral:rRNA from 1 species
GACGAACCGUGCGAACGUUGUUCGGAAUCACUGGGCAUAAAGGGCGCGUAGGCGGCUCGCGAGGUCGGGGGUGAAAUCCCACAGCUUAACUGUGGAAGUGCCUCGAUACCGGCGGGCUGGAGGAAGGUAGGGGUGCGCGGAACUUCUGGUGGAGCGGUGAAAUGCGUUGAUAUCAGAAGGAACGCCGGCGGCGAAAGCGGCGCACUGGACCUUUUCUGACGCUGAGGCGCGAAAGCCAGGGGAGCAAACGGG